GCGCUGCUCUCUGUAAUCUCCAGAUCAAGUGGUCAAAUGCCUUCUCCACAUCUAAUGCUAAAAGAAGACUGCCUUUGCCGGAGAUCCUUAGUAACCUCAUGACCACAGCUAGAUUCCUCGUAUCGUCCACUCCUUGCUGUCAACACACGAAUCCCGUUUGGUCGUUGUUUAUUAAUUGCGUUAGAAAUCAAUGUAAUCUAUUUGCUUAGAGUUUGGAAUAUAUUUUCUCGUCAAU